GCCGGGGUCGCCUAGUGGUAUGGCGGCAGCCUGCUAAGCUGCUGGGCGUUUGCCCUCGUGGGUUCGAAUCCCACCCCCGGCG
rnacentral:tRNA from 1 species